UCAUGUCUAAGCUGGAUGAAUACACUCCGAGGCUUCUGAACAUCUUCCACUCCAAAGGUGGAACCAUGGGGUUGAGGUUGCAGGCCAUCCUACUCAAGGCUCCAAGCAACCAUAGCAUCAGCAUGAACAGAGAGGUUGUCAUUCAGUGUUUGAUGGUGUACCUUGGGGAAUCCACAGAUCAACUCUUAAAGGAGUAUGAUGUAAAUUCAAGAACAUGUUAAAAUAUAAAGAAGGAUGCUGAUGAAGACAGUGUGUCACAGGACCUUGCUGUACAAAGGAUUAAAAUCUACCACAUCAAGACUACUACGCCAGAGGGUCCUGAUGACAUCGGUAUCGUAGUAGAAGGUGUGAAAGUUCUUACUACUCUGGGUAACUUUCCAAGGGCUUGCUCCAUGGUCAUUGGCUUGGCAUAUGCAGUGAAUCUUGCCUAUCCCAAGGAGGUCAGGUACACGCUUGAAGUCUUCCAGAAACUCCUCCUUGAGCUGGAUUAUUCAAAGCUGUCCCCAAAAGUGAACAGCCUCAAGAAUAAGCUACUAGCUUGAGAAAAGGGACCCUUGCAGAAUGACAGGGAACAAUUAACUCACUGUCAAAACUGUCACAUGGUUACCCACUCACUGUGAAGGGACUGCAAACUGUUACUGAAGGAGACCUUUGGAAUUUCUGAUGAGUUCAGUCUUUAGUAUUUGGACUUGGAAUUUGAAGAUUACUUUACUCUUCAUAAAAGUGACCAAAUUAAACAUAAAGACACCAUAAAGAUUGUUCACACUGCCCUGAUUGUUCUCAACUUGCUUCCACUUAAUGAAAGUUUGGGCAUUUCCUUUUUUUCAACUGUUAAGUAACUAAAAAAUAUUGAUUUUUCAGUGCAACAUGUGGUUGUUUAGAAAUAUCAAACCAACCAUACUCAUUUUACGGGAGUGGUAUUGUGAUUUUGAAUUUGUAUUGCCACAGGCAGCUGUUAUUGUACCUUGUGAUUCCUCUGUGUACACCAGGGAUGCAAAUUUGACAUGUUUUAAUUG